AGCGAACGCUGGCGGCAGGCCUAACACAUGCAAGUCGAACGAGCUCUUCGGAGUUAGUGGCGGACGGGUGAGUAACACGUGGGAACGUGCCUUUUGGUUCGGAAUAACUCAGGGAAACUUGUGCUAAUACCGAAUGUGCCCUUCGGGGGAAAGAUUUAUCGCCAUUAGAGCGGCCCGCGUCUGAUUAGCUAGUUGGUGAGGUAACGGCUCACCAAGGCGACGAUCAGUAGCUGGUCUGAGAGGAUGACCAGCCACACUGGGACUGAGACACGGCCCAGACUCCUACGGGAGGCAGCAGUGGGGAAUCUUGCGCAAUGGGCGAAAGCCUGACGCAGCCAUGCCGCGUGAAUGAUGAAGGUCUUAGGAUUGUAAAAUUCUUUCACCGGGGACGAUAAUGACGGUACCCGGAGAAGAAGCCCCGGCUAACUUCGUG
rnacentral:rRNA from 1 species